GAUGAACGCUAGCGGCAGGCUUAACACAUGCAAGUCGAGGGGUAUGGUUCUUCGGAACCAGAGACCGGCGCACGGGUGCGUAACGCGUAUGCAAUCUACCUUUCACAGAGGGAUAGCCCAGAGAAAUUUGGAUUAAUACCUCAUAGUAUUAUAGGAUGGCAUCAUUUUAAUAAUUAAAGUCACAACGGUGAAAGAUGAGC
rnacentral:rRNA from 1 species